rnacentral:rRNA from 1 species
UACGUAUGGUGCGAACGUUGUUCGGAAUCACUGGGCAUAAAGAGCACGUAGGCGGUUAAGCAAGUCCAUUGUGAAAUCCCCCGGCCUAACCGGGGAACUGCAUUGGAUACUACUUGACUUGAGUGCAGGAGGGGAGAGUGGAAUUCCAGGUGGAGCGGUGAAAUGCGUAGAUAUCUGGAGGAACGCCGGCGGCGAAAGCGGCGCGCUGGACCACUACUGACGCUGAGGAACGAAAGCUAGGGGAGCAAACAGG